UGGGGAAUAUUGCACAAUGGGCGAAAGCCUGAUGCAGCAACGCCGCGUGAGUGAUGAAGGUCUUCGGAUUGUAAAGCUCUGUCUUUUGGGACGAUAAUGACGGUACCAAAGGAGGAAGCCACGGCUAACUACGUGCCAGCAGCCGCGGUAAUACGUAGGUGGCGAGCGUUGUCCGGANUUUACUGGGCGUAAAGGGUGCGUAGGCGGAUGUUUAAGUGAGAUGUGAAAUACCCGGGCUUAACUUGGGUGCUGCAUUUCAAACUGGAUAUCUAGAGUGCAGGAGAGGAGAAUGGAAUUCCUAGUGUAGCGGUGAAAUGCGUAGAGAUUAGGAAGAACACCAGUGGCGAAGGCGAUUCUCUGGACUGUAACUGACGCUGAGGCACGAAAGCGUGGGUAGCAAACAGGAUUAGAUACCCUGGUAGUCCACGCCGUAAACGAUGAGUACUAGGUGUAGGAGGUAUCGACCCCUUCUGUGCCGCAGUAAACACAUUAAG
rnacentral:rRNA from 1 species